UACAAUGGUAUUAAAUUUAACUUAAUUCAAUUAAUUUAUCAACUUUUAAAAAUAGUUGAUUUUAAUUGGUUUUCUUUAAUGAGCUUUUAUAGAGGUUUUAUGAACUCAAAUUUGAAAUACUCUAUCUUUAGUACACUAUUAUUCGAUGCGAAGCUAAAUCACUGAACCGAUUUUUCUCAACGAUACAAAAAAGAUCAAAAACUUUAUCUAGUCGAAGACACCUUCAAAAAUUAAAAUAUUUUUCCUCAUUCCCCGUAAAUGGGGGAAAUCUUCAAAAAAAAUUAUCAAUGUAUAAAUCGGCAAUUUUUGACAUUUUCUUUUGUAUAAACUUUACAUAACUUUUUUAAAAAUGACUAAAUCAACACAAUUUUUUUUUAUAGAUACAUGCUCAUGUAAUGCCUUAAGGUAUUAACCUAUUGGUACAUUUUUAUAAAUCUGACUCUUUACCUGCCCACACUGUAUGUCAGGGGUACGAGGUUCUAACCCUACCCAUCGA